rnacentral:rRNA from 1 species
AUGGCGUACAGGGUGCUGGAGGUGACCCUCCAGUCGGCCAGGAACCUCAAGAACGUCAACCUCAUGUCGCGCCUCGAGGUGUACGCCGUCGCCACCAUCUCCGGCGACCCCAUGACGCGCCAGUGCACCCCGCCCGACCCCUACGGCGGCCGCCACCCCACCUGGAACACCACGCUCCGCUUCACUGUCCCGCCCACCGCCGCCGCGGGCGCCAGCGGCUGCCUCCACGUCCUCCUCCGCACCGAGCGCUCCCUCGGCGACCGCGACGUCGGCGAGGUCGUCGUCCCGCUCACCGAGGUCCUCGGCCUCGGCGGCUCCUUCCGCGACCCGCGCGACCUCGGCCCCCGCCCGCCCCAGUUCGCCGUCUACCACGUCCGCAGGGUGCACCGCCCCGCCGACACCUACGGCGUGCUCUACCUCUCCUACCGCCUCGGCGGCGUCGUCCUGCCGCAGCCUCACCCUCAUGCGCCGCACCCGCACCACGACCACGCUGCCGCUCACGAAGAAGACCACGUCGUCGCGUACCCGGUGGCGGCGCGGCCGUCGUUCCAUCACCACCAGCCGUACGCCUACAUGCCGGCCCCGACGCUCAUGCCGCCGCCGCCGCCGCACUCCGCGCAGGCUUCUUCCGGUUCCGGUGCGCACAUGUCGUCCUCGCCACCGUCUCCGCGGGAUUAUAGCGGGCAUAUGGCCCUGCAUCCGCCGCUUUCAAAGGCUUACGGUUACGGGCACCUGUCGAUGCCGCCGCCGCUCCAAGCCUCCGGGCACACGGCGACGCCCCCGGCGCCUCAAAGAGCAGCAGCCGGGUACAACGCAGCCGGCUCGCCGUGGACGAACGCGAGGAAUAACGGCGGCGCUGACUUGGGCCGCAUGGGGCUGAGCGCCGGCGACAUGAUGUCGGACGCCGCGGCGUACAACGCCGGGUACAGGGCCGGGAUGGCCCGCGAGUGGAGCGGGGUCCGCGGGGCCGCCGUGUACUAG